rnacentral:rRNA from 1 species
UACAGAGGUGGCAAGCGUUGUUCGGAAUUAUUGGGCGUAAAGAGCUCGUAGGCGGUCUGUCGCGUCGGCUGUGAAAUCCCGAGGCUCAACCUCGGGUCUGCAGUCGAUACGGGCAAACUUGAGUGUUGCAGGGGAGACUGGAAUUCCUGGUGUAGCGGUGAAAUGCGCAGAUAUCAAGUGGAACACCAGUGGCGAAGGCGAGUCUCUGGACAUUUCCUGACGCUGAGGCACGAAAGCCAGGGGAGCAAACGGG